CUCAAGCCCCCGGGUUUGGUGUUGGGGAUCGGCUCUGCCCUUCUGGGCGGCGCCGCCCCCGAAAUACAUUGGCGGUCUCGCUGCAGCCUCCAUUGCGUAGUAGCUAACACCUCGCAACUGGAACGCGGCGCGGCCAUGCCGUAAAACCCCAACUUCUGAAUGUUGACCUCGGAUCAGGUAGGAAUACCCGCUGAACUUAA
rnacentral:misc_RNA from 1 species